CUGGGCUUCCUGCACACAUCUGCCACAAGAAUCAUACCAUAGCCAGCAUCACACAGCCCCUAGAAGAUUUCACCUUGGUGACAUCCAAACAGAGUGUCAGCAGGUUACCAGAACUCACCACUCAGGCAGAUAUCACCCCAAGACCAGUAUCCCUUGAGUCUCUGCCCUCUCUGAACUGUUGCUGUUUACCUGGAGAAGCAUUGGCAUUCGGUAGCUGUCUAUGUCGCUGUGCCAGCAGUGAAGAAGGAUGGUGGAGAAGGGGGAAGUUGGCACCAUGUUUCUCAGAGACAGAUCAGAGGUAUGGGAUGGUGCAGUGAACAGAUCUUCUCCUCCCUGGAGGCCAUGCUGCCCAGAUGAUGCCAGGCUGGUUGCAGAUCACCACCCAGGUCGGUGUCAUCUCCAGGGUGUGGAGGACAGGACUGGAGGUCAAAGAUCUUCUGCAAUCUGCCAGGGAGAAGCUGAGACGAGAACAGUCAGUUGCCUGGUGACCUGACCGAGCUAGAUCUGUCUGAAUCCAAAGGAAAGUUAAACGACUGAAGGGGGAAGAUUAUGAAGUGGCUGUUUACUGUUCUAGACCACAGAGUGAACUGCGGCAGUAACAUAAUCAAACUGUUGCCAUCAAGAAUUAGAAACGCAGAGACAAUCCAAUGUACCCAAGUGUCCAACAAUGUCUUCAGCAGAAGAGUAAAGGGUUUUGUAAUCAUCAUCUGGACCCUUAUUUCACACUUAACCUGGUAGGAGGAAGGAAGUUGAUGGUAUGGAGAUAGAAUGGAUAUUUGAAGAUAUAAUAUGAACACUUGGUGGUGGGAUGGGCAGGACAUUAAAGCUGUUUUGGAACAGAACAAGAGGUUGAGAAAGAAAUUCUUCCAAAUAAUGCCAACAUGGCUUCCAUUGGAAGAAAUGCAUGAGAAUGAAAAGGAAUUGAAAUCUCUGAAGCUGGCUGCUCUGCAUAAACAUUGAAAACCAGAAGAAGUAAACGGUGACACGGAACAUGCUGUGUUGGAGAGUUGGGACAUGAGCUAAUGCCUAUGAUUCCCAACACAGUAGGUUUUUGAUUGCAUUGGAGCCAUCAAGAAGAGAUGAGAUCCAUCAGAUGGAAGGAGGAUUGUAGGAUGCAAUAACCUCAGGCUAUUCCUCUGAGCGGCACAGAUGUAACCUUUCAAGAUAUGCAGAUAUUUUCUAUUUCAUAACAUCUUAAAGGUCUUAUUUUUCUUUGCACCAUUACAAUAGCAAACCUGUGGGUGAAGUUAAAAAAGGCCGUAAAUUGAAAAGCCGUUUAACAAGCUGCAGUGUUCUGGGAACAAAUAAAGUAGCCAGAAAUACAGUAUUAUUCAUUCUAUUGAUGCAAUUGGUAUUUUCAUUGCCUGCAACAUUAAAAAUGAUCACAUACACACAUGAAAUACUAUAGAAUCUGUCUCAGCAAAAGCCUGCAAUUAUCAUUAAUUAUUUCCAUCCACAUGCUAAUGUCCAUCAGAUGUUAAUAUGCUUGGAGUUUUAAAAGAAAGCAAUUUUUAACCCUUUGUGCACUUGCAUCUCCAGAGUAUUUUAUUCUCACUGGGUGGUCACUUUCACCUUACACACAGUUGUACACAGUUGUACAUCAGAUUCAAUUUCACAGUGGUAAUAUUGUUGAGAAGCACAGUUAAUAUAAGAUCAAUAAACUAUCAAAAGCUACUGGACUUAUAGUUCAUGUACCAUAUACUAUGGUUUUGUACUCUAAA